AGAUUGAACGCUGGCGGCAGGCCUAACACAUGCAAGUCGAGCGGUAGAGAGGUGCUUGCACCUCUUGAGAGCGGCGGACGGGUGAGUAAUGCCUAGGAAUCUGCCUAGUGGUGGGGGAUAACGUUCGGAAACGGACGCUAAUACCGCAUACGUCCUACGGGAGAAAGCGGGGGACCUUCGGGCCUCGCGCCAUUAGAUGAGCCUAGGUCGGAUUAGCUAGUUGGUGAGGUAUGGCUCAACCGAAGGCGACGAUCCGUAACUGGUCUGAGAGGAUGAUCGAGUCACGACGUGGAACUGACGACACGGUCCAGACCUCGACGGGAGCAGCAGGUGGGAAUUCGUGGACAAGUCGGGACGAAAGCCUAGAC
rnacentral:rRNA from 1 species